GAUGAACGCUGGCGGCAUGCCUAACACAUGCAAGUCGAGCGAAAACACAAUGAGAUUGUUCCUCUGCCGUUAGCGGCUGACGGGUGAGUAACACGUGGAUCACCUACCUCUAAGACUGGGAUAAUUUCGUGAAACCGGAGCUAAUACCAGCUCAUAUAUCGAACCGCAUGGAUCAAUAGAGCAAGACGGCUUUCCUGUCACAAUUAGAUGGAUCCGCGCCGCAUUAGCUAGUUGGUAAGGUAACGGCUUACCAAGGCAACGAUGCGUAGCCGACCUGAGAGGGUGAUCGGCCACACUGGAACUGAGACACGGUCCAGACUCCUACGGGAGGCAGCAGUAGGGAAUCUUGCACAAUGGGCGAAAGCUUGACGGAGCAACGCCGCGUGAGUGAUGAAGGUCUUCGGAUCGUAAAACUCUGUUAUUAGGGAAGAACAAAUGUGUAAGUAACUAUGCACGUCUUGACGGUACCUAAUCAGAAAGCCACGGCUAACUACGUG
rnacentral:rRNA from 1 species